UACUAGUAAACCCUACUUUCUCUUCCCGGUCCCACCCGCCAGCCGCACUACGGCACAAGCUUCGUCUUCUUCAUUUCCGUCCCCUGCGCUCGUGGGAUCUGCGGCGGCGGCGGCGUUCCACGUUUCCUCUGCUGUGCAAGUUCAUACCCACUAGAUGGGGAAGGCAAAGCGUGCAUCUAUAUUUAUCAGGCUCGUCUCAGCAGCCGGAACUGGAUUUUUCUACGUGAAGCGCAAGAAUCCUCGGCGGAUCACAGAGAAGCUUGAGUUCAGGAAGUAUGAUCCGCGUGUAAACAAGCAUGUUCUAUUUACGGAAGCCAAGAUGAAGUGAGACGCUGCAACCUUUCUUUCUUACCAUAAGACCUCUACCGUUCAUUUUGGUCGAAGACGAUGAUGCUACCUUUAUUUUAGCGGGCUCUAGAUAAUUUAGUUUCAUGUAAACAACUCUAAUGAGCACGUUUUGAUCUCGUCAGCACCGAAUCAGCAUGGAUUUUCACUUGCUCUGCCUUGCCUGCUUAUUUGUAUUGUAACUGAAAUGAGCUGCAAGCCUGCAAAUGUACUGUCCCAUUUUGGUGUUGUGAUUUUUGUCAGUGAAUGCCUGCUUCUGAAA